AUGGGUAGCAGCGUUGAACACUUGUCCUGUCUCAUCAGACUGGUCAUCAAGGUUCUGCUGCAUCACCACUCGGUGGAUGAGAUCUCCUAUAUCGCCAAGGAUACCCAGGCCUUCGACUACCACCGGGCCUUCGACUACGCCUCUGGGAAGGAGGGACACCACAGUUGGGAUUGCAACACAAGUGUUUGUGAACUGCGUGUGUGUCGUCUAGAAGAUGAAGGCGUGUGCUCCUCUUCCUUCACAUCCCUCCCUCCCUCCCUGACAGGCAGAGCCCCUGAUCGUUGACCUGCGCGACCUCUUCACACUCAUCUACGACAUCAAGCAGCACGAGGAGAUGGAGAGGAAGGCCCAGAAGGACUGGCAGUGUCACACACAGACACACACACACACAAACCCACAUGAAAACCACAUUAAACAUUUAGAGACAUACGACUCAACAGAUUGUAUGCUUGUCUUGUGGUUGGUGAUGUAUAUAGAAACUAUAUGAGUUAUCAUUACUCAUUGUGUAUUUAUUAUUACUUUUAUGACACGUUUUACUUUUCUAUUUCUUUAUCUCUGCAUUGUUGGGAAGGACCCGUAAAGUUAGCAUUUCACUGUUAGUCUACACCUGUUGUUUAACAGUGAAAUCAACAGUUUAAAAAAAAACAUUUAUCUCAUUCAAUUCCUUCACCAAUCAGUUCAGAAAGAGCAAGCAAGCUAGUUGUUUACAUGCGUGAUGGAUAGAUAGCCUAUGGCGCAAGAUGCUAAAUUUUGCGAAUGCUCACCCUAGGUGGGGAGAUAGCAGGAGAGGAUUGAGGAGGAGGCUUGAAGCUCGGGGCAUCUUGUUAUGACAUGCAUUAUCUUAGGCAAAAAAAUUAAAAACACGUCUUGCCUUUUUGUCGUUAAUAAAUCCAACGUCAAACGUGAUAACUAGGCCUAUAGGAUUCUUAACUAGCUUUAAAAAAGUUAAUCCAUUCUUCUCUCGCUAAUUCAAAAUCUCUCUCCCCAUCUUCUGAAUCACACUUGUAAUGUCAGUACAGUAGUCUAUGAUUCGGGGGGGGGGGGGGCAGGUACAGUCAAAGAUUUCCAGCUUGCAGGCAGACAUUGGAAUACGUUUCUGAGUGACAGAGUGAGGUCUUUGCAUAGGCUCUUGGUUGCGUUUUUUUGCCUGGUAUGUAAAAUAACGUUACUAACAGGUUCCCAAUGCCUUUGAAAUAACAGUUCUGUUCAGGAACAGUAUGAAACACCCUGCAUACCACUGCUGGCUUGCUUCUGAAGCUAAGCAGUGUUGGUCCUGGUCAGUCCCUGGAUGGGAGACCAGAUGCUGCUGGAAGUGGUGUUGAAGGGCCAGUAGGAGGCACUCUUUCCUCUGGUCUAAAAAAAUAAUAAUAUCCCAAUGCCCCAGGGCAGUGAUUGGGGACACUGCCCUGUGUAGGGUGCUGUCUUUUGGAUGGGAUGUUAAACGGGUGUCCUGACUCUCUGAGGUCAUUAAAGAUCCCUUGGCACUUAUCGUAAGAGUAGGGGUGUAAACCCUGGUGUCCUGGCUAAAUUCCCAAUCUGACCAUCACGGUCACCUAAUAAUCCCCAGUUUACAAUUGGCUCAUUCCUCCUAUUCCCCAGGUUGUUGCUGCAGAUGAGAAUGUGUUCUCAGUCAACUUACCUGGUAAAAUAACAGAAAAAUGAAUGGAUCACUUUCGUUCCUGUUAUUUAAUGUUUUCGGUUCUGUUCACUGAACUGAAUUCAACCCCUGGUCCUCAACAAGUUACUUGCAUACAGCUGCACGCACAACAUUACUUUUCAUGUUUCUUGCGGUUGUGGCCACAGUGGUGCCUGCAGAUUUCCACUCCCCACUGGUGGUAGUGCAAAAACAGAUUCCCCUGCAACACUGGUAGAAUGCCCAAAAGCCUCCUGCUGCUCAUGCUUGUAAUGACAUUGCUCCUUGCGCCCUUGCUCAUUAAUAGUGCGCAGGUGGAGUAGUCGAAGUAAAACCGUAACUAGCAAGAUGGAGGCAAACACGAAACGGCGUAUGCAAACCACAGGUAUAAUAAGAACUGGUGACUGCGUCCAAGAUGUCCGACCGUUGUUUUAAAGUUUUUUUUUUUUAAAAGCACAUUGUCUAUUACGAAAUAGACAAGUUUGAAUCUUUAGAUGUGGUAACUAGUGAGAACACAUUUAAUGUAGUCAACUGGCUGGGACUUCCAACUUCAUUGGCUUAUCCCUACCGAUGACCCGGUUGGAGUCAUGUCCAAUCAGGUCAUCAGGGCGAGGAUCAGCCAACUGUGAAGAAGCACCAUCGAGAUAACGUCAAUGGUGCUGCCCAUGCCGUCACAGACGCUAUAAUGGCGCAGAUAGAAAGAUGAGCCCCCCCUAGGUUUCCAUCCAAUUAGCAGCAGAUUUUCAAGCAAAUAUUCUAGAAUGAAGAAAAUAUGUGCAUUUUCCCAUCAGUGGUAUAUUUCCACCGAAUGGAAUUGUUGCGGAUAAAAAAAUCAUUGUGUGAUGAGGUUCUGCACACAAAAUGUACUUUUUCACUUAAGUUUUGAUAUACCGAAUACAAAUCUAAAGUUCAAUGUGUCUCCAAUGCAUUUUCAACUCUACUGAUAGUUUUGUUACAAAAACUGUUGCGAUAAGUAGCAAAUGUGCAUACUCUGGUCUUGAGACUUGCCCUCUAGCCA
rnacentral:lncRNA from 1 species